rnacentral:rRNA from 1 species
UACAGAGGGUGCAAGCGUUGUUCGGAAUUAUUGGGCGUAAAGGGCGCGUAGGCGGUGCGGUAAGUCACCUGUGAAAUCUCCGGGCUUAACUCGGAGCCUGCAGGCGAAACUACCGUGCUGUAGUGUGGGAGAGGUGCGUGGAAUUCCCGGUGUAGCGGUGAAAUGCGUAGAUAUCGGGAAGAACACCAACGGCGAAAGCACUCCGCUGGGCCGAAAACUGACACUGACAGACGAGAGCUAGGGGAGCGAAUGGG